rnacentral:rRNA from 1 species
CAGCAGCCGCGGUAAUACCGAGGGUGCGAGCGUUAAUCGGAUUUACUGGGCGUAAAGCGUGCGUAGGCGGCUUUUUAAGUCGGAUGUGAAAUCCCUGAGCUUAACUUAGGAAUUGCAUUCGAUACUGGGAAGCUAGAGUAUGGGAGAGGAUGGUAGAAUUCCAGGUGUAGCGGUGAAAUGCGUAGAGAUCUGGAGGAAUACCGAUGGCGAAGGCAGCCAUCUGGCCUAAUACUGACGCUGAGGUACGAAAGCAUGGGGAGCAAACAGGAUUAGAUACCCGCGUAGUCCCUGUCUCUUAUAC